CGAGGUGUGGCUCAGUUUGGUAGAGCAUUACGUUCGGGACGUAGGGGUCGCAGGUUCGAAUCCUGUCACCUCGA
rnacentral:tRNA from 1 species